rnacentral:rRNA from 1 species
UACGUAGGGUGCGAGCGUUGUCCGGAAUUAUUGGGCAUAAAGGGCUCGUAGGCGGUUUGUCGCGUCGGGAGUGAAAACCCAGGGCUUAACCCUGGGCUGGCUUUCGAUACGGGCAGACUAGAGGUAUGCAGGGGAGAACGGAAUUCCUGGUGUAGCGGUGAAAUGCGCAGAUAUCAGGAGGAACACCGGUGGCGAAGGCGGUUCUCUGGGCAUUACCUGACGCUGAGGAGCGAAAGUGUGGGGAGCGAACAGG